GCACCCACAGCACGUCAUCUCAAUCAGCACAGGCCUCGCAUUUCAGCUGCAGCAAGUCACGGAGUAAAGAUCACAGACAGGAUGGACCUAAAUAUGAGCGAAGCACUGCUCCCAAGUUAAGUGUGUUAGCUACAAUUUAGUGGGCAAACUGGAUGGUUAAGGCCCAGAAGUAAUGCUGUCCGACCCCUCCUCCUCUUCCUCCUCCUCCUCCUCCUCCACCUUCUGCUUACCACCGCCCUGCUACUGCUUCAGAGGGUACGGGAGGCAGCUGUCCACUCAGUACACAAGAGAGACUGGAAUGUUCCAGAGAGGCACCAUUGAGUUCACCAGAGCGGCGUCUUUGUGUGAACAGACUCACCACUGAGGGAGGUGAGCAGAUCCAAAUGUAUGAAAUGCCAUCAGAAGAGUUUCAAAGAAAAAUAGGAGAGAGUAAUUAAAAGGCCAAGUGUGUUCAAAAAGCUGUGUUCAUUUUUAAUAGUAAACUAUGUAGUUUUUUCAUAGUUACAAUAAAAGAUUUAUUGUACAAGCUA